GCGUAAGAGAGGGAGGGAGGGAGGGAGGGGGAGAGAGGAGAAGGAGGAGGCGGCAGAUGAGGAGGACUAGUGUGGGGCGGAAAGGAAGAGUGAGAAGCGAGAGAGCAAGUUGAGAGGAGGGGGUGUAAGAGCCGGCGCAUUCUUUUUCUUUUUCUAUUAUUAUUUUGGCGACUCUCGAGUUGCGCCCAUGCUCUUCUCAGCUUCGUUUUAGGCAUAACAUGGCCCGGCAGAAGAAAAUGGGGCAAAGCGUGCUCUGGGCAGUCUUCUUUUUCGUCCUGGGGCUUUUGGGUCAUUCUCACGGAGGAUUCCCCAACACCAUCAGCAUAGGUGGACUUUUCAUGAGAAACACAGUUCAGGAGCACAGCGCUUUCCGCUUUGCUGUGCAGUUAUACAACACCAACCAGAACACCACUGAGAAGCCUUUCCAUCUGAAUUACCACGUAGAUCACUUGGAUUCUUCCAAUAGUUUUUCUGUGACUAAUGCUUGUAAGUAGAUCUACUUUUCCUCCCUUUGGGACCCUGGGGACAUUAUCUGCAUUUUGCUUGUAAUUCCCGGUGUCUGUGUGUGCUGGGGAGUGAUGAUCUCAAUAGACAUUGUUAGGAGCUCUAGUCAAUCCUAGUUUCCUGUUGCAUAAAUCAACACUGGAGUGUUCCUCUGGAAGGUGAAGGGAGGUAAAACUCUGCCUUGAAUGAGGUUUGAUGUAAAAGUUUCAUUUUCCUCCCUGCUAACUUGGCAUUCCCUCCCUCACUCCUUAUUUAUUUAUCUAUUUAUUUUUGCUAGGAGAAAAGAAAGCGAGAAAGAAAAACAUUGCAUGGUUAUUCAGGAAAAUUUCUUCAGACAGAAUUUUAAAAAGAAGCAGCAGCAGCUUCUUGAUUGAGUCAAUUCAGGAUGUACAUUCCUUGGAUGUUAGAGCUAGUGCCCCACCAGUAAGAAUGAGCAGAAUUUGACAAUUGCUUAAUAAGUAAGAACCAGAUAUGAAAAAUUCUGCAAACAAAUGACCUUGAGGGACAGAUCAGGCUGGAUUCCCUGGCCUCUUUCUGUCCUAGAAUAUCACCUUUCUCACCCAGAUAGCUCUGAUAGGAAUGGAUAAGACUACAAACUGAUUCCAAGUGAUGAAGCCUGGCGAACUCUAAGGAAGGAAAAAGACUGUGCUCAGGUGAAUAUUUGAAAAGCAAGUUCUUGUCUCUUCGUAUUGUUCACUGCCCCUUCCACAUUGUUAAAGACAACACAGUUCCUAGUUUACAGCAAGAGGCUGGGCAGCAGAGAGAAGCUUGGAGCAGGAAAAACUGAACAACAACAUGAAGAAUUUCAUAGGCUCCAAAGUUAUUUCUAAAAUCCACAGUUGUGCCCAUGAUUAUUUCUCUGGGGAGGGAACAUUUUAAAAAGUAAUAAUACUUUUAAGCCAAAAUGGCUUAAGAGUUCGUUGGACACAAGACUAGCUGAAUGGACUAUUUUAUGAGAAAGGCCAAAAAUUCUUCAUUCAAGCUGAUUUCACCAAAAGUUUAAGAACAAUGAGGCC
rnacentral:lncRNA from 1 species